UUAAGAAAUGCUUUUUCCAGGCUAUUUGUUCAAACAAAAAAAAAAGGUCUUGCUUUAGGGCUUCCUUGUUAGGAAGAUUUCAGAUUUGACCUGGCAUUUGCUAAGGACAAUCUUAUAAACUUUUGUACCUGUGGUACCCAGCCUCCAAGUUGGCCCUCAAUCGUCCCCACCUCCUGGUAGCCAUAUCUUGUGUAGUCAGUUCCCUCCCACAUGAUAUGUCACUUCUGAGAUCAGGUUAUAAAGACUGCAAUUUCUGUCUUGAGUGCAUGCUCUUUUCUCUCGGAUCUCUGCCAUAUUGUAUGUCAGGUACACAAGGCAAGAGAUUGAAGCUUCUAGCCAACAGCCAGAGAGAAACCAAGGCCUGCCAACACCUAUGUGAGUGAGCUUGGAAGCAGAUCCACCAACCUCAACCAAGCUUUCAACUGACUGCCACCCAGCUGACAGCUUGAAGUCCACCUUAUGAGAGGCAAAGAGACAAAAGCACCCAGCUAACAUCCUCAGGCCCCCAGAAACUCUAGGACAGUAAUUGUUUGUUGCGGAAAGUAAUUUGUUGU